UGAGACGUAGGGGGCGAGCGUUAUCCGGAUUCACUGGGCGUAAAGGGCGCGUAGGCGGUUACGUAAGUCCGAUGUGAAAAGUCACGGCUCAACUGUGAUCGUGCAUCGGAUACUUCGUUGACUUGAGGUCGGUAGAGGCAAGUGGAACUAGCGGUGUAGCGGUGAAAUGCGCAGAUAUCGCUAGGAACGCCGGUGGCGAAGGCGACUUGCUGGGCCGUACCUGACGCUGAUGCGCGAAAGCUAGGGGAGCGAACCGGAUUAGAUACCCGGGUAGUCCUAGCCGUAAACGGUGGGUGCUAGGUGUGGGGGGCGUAUGUCCCUCUGUGCCGUAGCUAACGCAUUAAGCACCCCGCCUGGGGAGUACGACCGCAAGGUUA
rnacentral:rRNA from 1 species